rnacentral:rRNA from 1 species
ACUCCUACGGGAGGCAGCAGUGGGGAAUAUUGCACAAUGGGCGCAAGCCUGAUGCAGCCAUGCCGCGUGUAUGAAGAAGGCCUUCGGGUUGUAAAGUACUUUCAGCAGUGAGGAAGGCGGGUGUGUUAAUAGCGCAUUCGUUUGACGUUAGCUGCAGAAGAAGCACCGGCUAACUCCGUGCCAGCAGCCGCGGUAAUACGGAGGGUGCGAGCGUUAAUCGGAAUUACUGGGCGUAAAGCGCAUGCAGGUGGUUUGUUAAGUCAGAUGUGAAAGCCCGGGGCUCAACCUCGGAAUUGCAUUUGAAACUGGCAGACUAGAGUACUGUAGAGGGGGGUAGAAUUUCAGGUGUAGCGGUGAAAUGCGUAGAGAUCUGAAGGAAUACCGGUGGCGAAGGCGGCCCCCUGGACAGAUACUGACACUCAGAUGCGAAAGCGUGGGGAGCAAACAGGAUUAGAUACCCUGGUA